GAUGAACGCUGGCGGCGUGCCUAAUACAUGCAAGUCGAGCGAACAGACGAGGAGCUUGCUCCUCUGACGUUAGCGGCGGACGGGUGAGUAACACGUGGAUAACCUACCUAUAAGACUGGGAUAACUUCGGGAAACCGGAGCUAAUACCGGAUAACAUGUUGAACCGCAUGGUUCAACAGUGAAAGACGGUCUUGCUGUCACUUAUAGAUGGAUCCGCGCCGCAUUAGCUAGUUGGUAAGGUAACGGCUUACCAAGGCAACGAUGCGUAGCCGACCUGAGAGGGUGAUCGGCCACACUGGAACUGAGACACGGUCCAGACUCCUACGGGAGGCAGCAGUAGGGAAUCUUCCGCAAUGGGCGAAAGCCUGACGGAGCAACGCCGCGUGAGUGAAGAAGGUCUUCGGAUCGUAAAACUCUGUUAUUAGGGAAGAACAAAUGUGUAAGUAACUAUGCACGUCUUGACGGUACCUAAUCAGAAAGCCACGGCUAAUUACGUG
rnacentral:rRNA from 1 species